rnacentral:lncRNA from 1 species
ACUUCCCAUCAGCCCUUGAGGCUGCAGGGACCAGCCCUUUGGUAGGUGCGCUUUGCUUCCUAACCCGUUGCCGGGUUGGAGAUUCCACCUCCGAAGUUUUCUUUCUGACUUUUGAUUUUACAUUCCUAGUACAGUGGAGAAGCCCAGGCGGCCUAGAAUCCAGUGUCGUCCGUGAGUGCUUGGCUGGUGUUCAAGUGCAUCUUCCAGCCUGAGACCGCGUGGACUCGCUCAUCGUGAGGGCGAGAGGAGGAUAAGCCCAUUGGGCUGUCGGCUGAGAGUGAGGUGCGGGAUUGCUGAUGAAAUCCUUGGCAUCGUCGGAGAUCUCAUCGAAUGCCUCGUCGUCGAAGUCCCAGGUGGCUGAGGUAACGUUGGCCAAGGUUUCGUUAUCGUUGUCUCCCAUGAAGGGGGAAAGGCCACUGACUCUGGAGAGACAAGAGCAGGACAGCAGGUGUGGCUAGGAGAGGGCGCGACGACCAGAUGAGGGAAUUGAGGCACAGCCCAGGCUCAAGUCACCUGCCCAAAGAUUCACAGCCAGUGAGAUUGGAAGCCAGGUAUCUGCCUCUAGAGCCUGUCCUCUUAAAUGCUAUACUAUCCUAACAUUUCUGUAAAGAUGAAGUAAAUUGCAGUGUUCAGCACUGGCACCAGGCCUGGUCCACAGUAAGGAGGCGGUCCAUGCCCGGAGAUCUCAUGCAGUUCUGCUGGGUUCCCUCCACUGCCUUACCAAGCUGUGAGUGCAGGAAUGACUUUGUGACCAGCAGCUUAAGCCAAAUAAACUUUAUAAGGUAAAGAAUUUCAAAACAA